UACGAAGGGGGCUAGCGUUGUUCGGAAUUACUGGGCGUAAAGCGCACGCAGGCGGCUCGAUACAUUAGAAGUGAAAGCCCCGGGCUUAACCUGGGAAUUGCUUUUAAGACUGUCGGGCUAGAAUCCAGAAGAGGGUAGUGGAAUUCCGAGUGUAGAGGUGAAAUUCGUAGAUAUUCGGAAGAACACCAGUGGCGAAGGCGACUACCUGGUCUGGCAUUGACGCUCAUGUGCGAAAGCGUGGGGAGCAAACAGG
rnacentral:rRNA from 1 species